rnacentral:rRNA from 1 species
CCAGAGCUUAACUCUGGAACUGCCAUCAAAACUUUUUAGCUAGAGUAUGAUAGAGGAAAGCAGAAUUUCUAGUGUAGAGGUGAAAUUCGUAGAUAUUAGAAAGAAUACCAAUUGCGAAGGCAGCUUUCUGGAUCAUUACUGACGCUGAGGAACGAAAGCAUGGGUAGCGAAGAGGAUUAGAUACCCUCGUAGUCCAUGCCGUAAACGAUGUGUGUUAGACGUUGGAAAUUUAUUUUCAGUGUCGCAGCGAAAGCAAUAAACACACCGCCUGGGGAGUACGACCGCAAGGUUAAAACUCAAAUGAAUUGACGGGGACCCGCACAAGUAGUGGAGCAUGUGGUUUAAUUCGAAGAUACGCGCAGAACCUUACCAACACUUGACAUGUUCGUCGCGACUUUAAGAGAUUAAAGUUUUCGGUUCGGCCGGACGAAACACAGGUGCUGCAUGGCUGUCGUCAGCUCGUGUCGUGAGAUGUUGGGUUAAGUCCCGCAACGAGCGCAACCCUCACUUUUAGUUGCCAUCAUUAAGUUGGGCACUCUGAAAGAACUGCCAGUGAUAAGCUGGAGGAAGGUGGGGAUGACGUCAAGUCCUCAUGGCCCUUACGUGUUGGGCUACACACGUGCUACAAUGGCAUUUACAAUAGGAAGCAAAACGGCGACGUUAAGCAAAUCCUAAAAAAAUGCCUCAGUUCGGAUUGUACUCUGCAACUCGAGUACAUGAAGCUGGAAUUACUAGUAAUCGCGGAUCAGCGCGCCGCGGUGAAUACGUUCCCGGGUCUUGUACACACCGCCCGUCACACCAUGGGAGUUGGUUCUACCUUAAGGCAAAGGUUAAAAACUUUGACCACGGUAUAGUCAGCGACUGGGGUGAAGUCGUAACAAGGUAGCCG